rnacentral:rRNA from 1 species
AGCAGCCGCGGUAAUUCCAGCUCCAAUAGCGUAUAUUAAAGUUGUUGCAGUUAAAAAGCUCGUAGUUGAAUUUCGGGAUCAGUACGCUGGUCGUGCCUUUGGUAUGUACUGGUGUCACUGAUUCCUCCCUUCUGAAGAACCGUUAUGCCAUUUAUUUGGUGUGGCGGGGAAUCAGGACUGUUACUUUGAAAAAAUUAGAGUGUUUAAAGCAGGCUCGCGCUUGAAUACAUUAGCAUGGAAUAAUGAAAUAGGACGUUUGAUCUUAUUUUGUUGGUUUCUAGGAUCGACGUAAUGAUUAAUAGGGAUAGUUGGGGGCAUUAGUAUUCAAUUGUCAGAGGUGAAAUUCUUGGAUUUAUUGAAGACUAACUACUGCGAAAGCAUUUGCCAAGGAUGUUUUCAUUAAUCAAGAACGAAAGUUAGGGGAUCGAAGACGAUCAGAUACCGUCGUAGUCUUAACCAUAAACUAUGCCGACUAGGGAUCGGAUGAUGUUAUUUUUAAUGA